rnacentral:rRNA from 1 species
UACGUAGGGUCCGAGCGUUGUCCGGAAUUACUGGGCGUAAAGAGCUCGUAGGUGGUUUGUCGCGUUGUUCGUGAAAACUCACAGCUCAACUGUGGGCGUGCGGGCGAUACGGGCAGACUGGAGUACUGCAGGGGGAGACUGGAAUUCCUGGUGUAGCGGUGGAAUGCGCAGAUAUCUGGAGGAACACCGAUGGCGAAGGCAGGUCUCUGGGCAUUAACUGACGCUGAGGAGCGAAAGCAUGGGGAGCGAACAGG